GCGUGGGAUGAGCCUCCAGUUAGGCUGGUUCCAAACUCCGUUUCAAAAAAAAAUUUUCCUCAAUUACGGGAAGUUCGAUUAAUGAUUAAUGAGAAGUUCGAUUGCUGGUAUCUCCGUCUCAACCCAGUAGAAGACACCGCAAUCUGAGAGCUCGAUGAUUGAUUGGACGGGGUUCAAGUAUCGUUCGAAAGCCUUCUUCAUUAUUCAUUUUGGGAAACUUUCAAACUUUCGAUUUUGUGAGAGGUUAAGCUCCAGAGUGAGAGACAGAGAGGGAGGGGACUUUUCCCUGCCAUUCAGAAAAGGAGGAGGAAGAAGAAGAAGAAGAUUUGCUGAGGGGAAGUCUAGAGAGGAGGAAGGGAUGUCUUGGUCGAUUUCAGUCUGUUCCCAAUUUGGGAAUUUCCGUUUCACAUUCAAAGUUUCAGUCUUUAAAGAGGUGAACUGCAGAACGUUAUCAGGUAAAAGAGAUGGGAAUCGAGGUUGUGUAAGAGGAAGAAGAGAAAAUGAGUAGCCAACACAACACCUCAGAUCCUUCUUACGAUCCAGAUGUUGAUGUCAUUGGCACAGAGUUUACAGGUCUUGAAAUGGGUUUACAGGUCUUUUCAUUCUGUUUCAGUUUUUAUAUCUAUGUAUGAUCAUGAACUAAAACUAGAUCCGCUAAUUAUAUUUGUGCACUAUACUAUAGCUUGCUUGCUUCAAUUUUGGACUGGUUGGGAUUUAGGCGGAAUCGGAACGAGGCAGGUCUGUCUUUAUUGUGAUCUGACUGUUCAUACUUCAUAGUGACCUCUGAGAAGAAUUAACUAUCAUAGUAAAGGCGUAGUUCAGCACCUUUAUUUCGGAAGGAACCCACCCAUGUUCACAGAGAUGAGACUUCUCCGCCAGCCUAUUGGUGAUGACCAUUUGGGCUGUUCACUCAGGAUUGGAAAAGACUCUUUUGCCCUUCGUUUUCGGUUUAGUUACGGUUUUGUUGUUGAUGUGUGAAUAAGUGAUGAGAGGAGAGAGAAACAGCUGUUGCCGUGCAAAUCAGAAGGAAGUGGUUGUGAUAGAAAGGGAUAGAAACUGAUUGUGAUAGCGAAGGAUUGAUAUAGAUCGGGCUGUUGGAGUAGAGAGGAGAGGAGGGAAUUAAGAUUUUGAUAGAGUUUGGGAGGAGAGAUCUAAAAUUUUGAUCGGCUUUGGGAGCUGGGUUUGCGUUUAUUUCGGAAGAGGUGUGUGCCAAGAUUUUGAUUGAGUUUGGGAGACAGGUUUCGGCAACAGAAGAGUGAUAUGAAAAUUGAUUAAAGCAAAAAGGGGCGGUUAUCUGAGUUUCCAAAUUGUAAUUAUAGUGGCCACUUUGGGUGUUCUCCACAUGCCUUGAUCGAGCCAAAGAAGACCUUAGCAUCAGGGAAAUUGUUAAAUCUCUCCAUGGACUAUGUUGCCUAUUCGAACAUUAUAAUCAUGCUUCAGCAAGCAGUUCAUUCCUCCUCCAUUUUUUUUCUUCAACAUUAAUUAUGUAUUCAAUUUAACACAGAUUCCGUGUUUGAUUAUGUUCUAGCAAAACGUGUGUGUAUAUAUAUAUAUAUAUAUAUAUAUAUAUCAUAGGAAGAAAUGGUCUACUGCAGCGCUUCAAUCUGUAGAUUCGCAACACACAAUGGUUGGUGGUAUAGAGCAUGCCCAAGCUGUUACAAACAGCUAAAAGAAAAGGAAAACAGCAAUGAAUUUGUUUGUGUGCAGCAUGGCAUACAAACAGCUCUUCCAUGAUUUGCUUAUCUGUUGUGAAUAGUGAAUAGUUUUAAACCUGGCUUUCAAUUUCAGUCAUCUACACUUGAUGAACAACCUGAGUUACAGAGUCUAUAUGACCAUUGAGGAUGCUGAUAAUCAAGCAACAGUUAUGCUGAUGGGAAGACAAGCAGAACAAUUCUUUGGCAGCAGCUGUCAAGACUUAGUGAACAAGAGAUCAUAUCCAACAGAAAAAACACUGCCAGAAGAGAUAGCAAAGACAAUAGGCCAGGACCAACCUUUUUCAAAUCAAAGUGAAUCUCGAUGGUGAACUCAUAGUGAAAGCUAUCUUCUUCCCAAAUGGACAACCUUCUGGACCACCAACACAAGAAAACCCAACAACUGCAACUCCAGACCAUCCUCCUUCUGAGAGAAAAAGAGCCAUUGAAACAAGCGGAAGAGAAUUAUUCAUCUCUGAACCAGACAAAAAAGUCUAGAGUGAGAGGCAAACCAGACAUGGAACAACAUCAUCAUCAUCAGCACCAUCUUUAGCAAGCAAAGUACAAGCUCGCAAACAGAAAAACGACUAAACGUAAAUAGCCAGUUUAUGUAACUAUAACUUUUGCUACACUAACCUAUUUUGUGUAGCUGCAACAACAACAGCAACAACUGCUCUUUUUGUAUAGAUAGAAUGAAGCAGUUGACUGAAGUAUUUUGUAUCACUACAACAGAAGCAACCACUGUUUUUUGAAUGAACUCCAGCAUCUAACACAGCUGCAACCGAAGCAAUCAGCUAGAGGAUUUUGGGAGCAAUGACCUUUUUGAACAAGCUCCAGCAACAACCUUUGCUAGAUUAGCUUAUAACCCUUAUAUAAAACUAGCAUUUUUGUACCAGCUCCAGUUGAACAAGCUUCAACUAGAAUGUAAUAUGUAUAAUUGUAUAAACAUUGUUUGACUACAAUAAUAUGUAACAAUGUUCCUUUUC